CUGGAUUCAAUAAACAUAUUUUAUGACAUUAUUUUUAGACCAUCAUAUUAAAUAGAAUCUAUGGGCCCAAAUAAAAAAAAUAAUAAUUAUCCCCAUAAAUGUAUCUUUCUCCCUCAUCUCAUUUGCAUCAGUUUUAUUCCUCACCAGUACUUUAUCUAUUAGAUUUCAUUUAUUUUAAAUAACUGAAUUGGUAGCGUGAAUUGAUGGUGGACGACGUUAACUGAAGAGUUUUAAAUACAAAAAUCCGAUUAGGCGAGGGAAUAGAUAUAGUUGACAAAGCUUUUAAUUUUUGUUUACUUGUUUGUUUUAAUUUGGGCCAUGGUCUAAAAAUAGUGUUAAAAUUAACGUCACAUUGAACCCAUCCCAUAUAUAUAAAACUUCCUUUCCAUCCUCCACUACAUUUAUUGUAUGAUACUUUUAAGCUUUUAUGAUUUAUGAUUUUAUAUCUAACCAUCAUCAGAUUUUUGUACAUAGAAAGUUAUUGAAUCAUUGAAUCCUCAUCAGAUUUAAUGAAGAGUUUUUAGCAGAUACCCAUUCCAUUUAACGCUUAUAUAUACAUAGAGAGUUAUUGAAUCAUUUGUGAUUUGUGCGAAUAGGUGUUUGUGAAUGAUUCUAGACGGAAACUACGGACAAGGCACGUUCUAUUUUUUUUUUAUUUUUUUUUAUUUGAGUGUUCUUACUCUCUUGAUCAACAUAAAUUUAUAGCAUCAAACAAUUUGUUAACAAUUUAUUAGAAAUACUUUCAAUAUAUUUAAUAUUUUCUGGAGAAAUAAAUUAUAAAAGUUGGUAGUGUUGUCAUUUAUUUGAACAUAUAUUCAUCUACUAAAUGGUUGCAUUUUAAUUGUAAAUGUAUUUUUUCUAUUUAAAAUAUAUGAUAUAAUAAUAUAAAUAUUAUAUAUAAGUUUUAUUAUAUAUAUUUACAUAAAAUAUUAUAUUACAUUUUAAGUUCUAUUUCUUUAAAUAAGAUAUUUUAUUAUUUUUGUAAAUUGUGGUAUUUUUCAAAUUUAUCACUUUUGUUAUGUGUCCAUAAAAAUGUUAUUAUUAAAAACUUACAAAAUUGCAAUCUUUAUUCCAGGCCCAAUAAUACAAGAGUCUAAGAGCCAAGUCCAACAAUAGUUACACAAAACUCUUCUCUCUUCACCCACAGAAUGGUUCGGCCCAUGAAGAAGUGAGACAAAAACUCACACAAUGAACCAACAAUGGUUCGGCCCGAAUAGAAGAGAUCAACCCAAUAAAGAAAUGAAACCCUAAUUUGAAUCCCUAAUAUAAUAAGCAAGUAUAUGCAGGGUAAGAACUAAGUCUCAGCCGCACCUAAUCUCCUCUCUCAAGAAGAAGGGCACGCCACAAAUGCAUAUAAGGUUGUUUUUUAGCUUGUAUUGUUGGGAGGCUUAUAACUGGCUUCUUCACCAAUUAGAUUGUGUUUGGUUUUCGUUUUAUGCACACUGCAAGUAGGGAGUGACAACGUGCAGUAGAUUAUUGGGUUCCGGCUUUCGGUGGACUGCGGUUUUUGGUAAACAAUAAAGAAAUUGAUCUGAAAUGGUGGCAGCAUACUAAGAAAAUUAUGGUUUUUUUUUUGGUUAACUAUUUAGAAAAUGAUUGUCUAUUUAUGACCUGUAUGAAUGUACGAAUGGGUAUCUUCUGAAUGGUUGUUUGGUAUGUAUAAUCUUUGUAAA